GCCUCAUUUCUUCUGCUAGAGCCUAUUAAAAGAGUACUUGAAAAAAUGCCUUUUUAAAUGCAGAAAGUAUUUCACUUAAAGCCUACUUAUUACAAUCAUCCUUUGUUCAACACCCAACUUUAAGGUUCAGUGCAUGACAGGAAACAAUACGUCUUUGAAUGUUUCUGAAGAACAAGAGCAACGCAUCCUGUUGGAGCCAUCAGUAAGGUCUAUUUAUGCUUGCAAGUUUUGGUGUUGCCUUGUGACAACGACAUGGCCAGCCACAGUCCCCAUCUCAUACCUCGACCACAAGCGUGUAUGUGUGUCUAUGUGUGUGGGUGCUUUUUUUCCAGAACAGUGUAAAUGUACCUAUACUUUAAAUAGAAAGGCAUGAUUGUGAGUCAUAAGUUGAGUGACUAUUGGUAAAAGAUCUUGCCCAUUCUGCCAUUCUGCUCUGAUGGAGUAGGAACGGUCACCUCUGGAUAUGAGCUGAGACUUUGUUACAUCAAGGAGGGUCCUGCCUGAGGAGAAAGGCUGCACACUGACUCUCUCCAAGGUCCAGCCAAUCAUAAUUGAUGCAUCGCAUGUUGGUCCAAAUCUGUCACUUGAGUCCAGAGCUCAAUCAGCAGUAAAAACAUGAUGAUCUUGACCAUUUAUUUUGCAAUGACAAUUUUGAUUGCAUCAUUGCCGGUUGAGACCGAAGACAUUCCUCUUUCGGUUUCUGAAAUAAAAGCAGAACAUGGCGAUAAGGUUACUUUAAAUUUUAAAGUAAUGAAAAAAGACGAUAAGUUUGACUGGUACAAACAAUCUCAUGGAUAUGUUCCCCAAACAGUCGCUCGAAGAGUGCUAGGAAUUUUUUUUUUUUUUCCUCCCUUUAAUUUAACAUUCACAAUGGAAGAAGGGGUUUCUGAUUUCAAUCUGAUCAUUCAAAGUGUAACUAAAGGCGAUGAAGCAAACUAUUUCUGUCGACAACAAUUUUCUGACAGUUGGACUAAUGGCAUAUUUCUGUCUGUCAAAGAUAAAAAUGUCAUGAAGAUAGAUGAAAAGCAAGAUGAAACAGAUCAAAACGUAACGAAGGUUAAUGAAAAGCAAGAUGUAACAGAUCAAAACGUAACGAAGGUUAAUGACAAGCAUGAUGUAACAGAACCCUACAGGCAUCUGGUGAUCUCGGUGCAUCGGAUAAUGUUGGCUUGCUGUCUGCUUGUGAUUAUAAUCCUCAUUCUAAUCAUUCAUUACAGGACGGGGAAACUGAUUCCUUGAACUACGCAGCGUUGGAGUUCUCCGGCAGAAAAAAUCGAAGGAGGGAAGAAGAAAAGUGAAAGGACUCAGGAGAGUGAGGAUUCUGCUGUGAGAGAAACCUGCCACUGAAGUCCAUCAACCACGUCCUAAUAUAGUUUGAUCUGGUGGAUGUGCAUUACUUUUCUAAAAGGGCUAAAAAGUACAAGCUCAAGUUAAGAUAUGAAAGACAAUAAAUAAUAUGAUUCUGACUAAGCUCAAAUAUAACAACAAUUUAACAGCGCUGGAAAGGGGUUUGGUUCAAAAUAUAUAUAUUUUUAAUGGUGACGAGCAAGCAUAUAAUUUUGGGUUUCCUAGUGUAGAUCCAUUCAGCCAUUGCUAAGAGACCUAAUGCGAAUGCAUUGUGUUCAUUUUGCAACUUACUUUUGAUCAGAUAAAUUUACUUUAUGCGACUUAUCAAUAUGUUUGCAUUCGUUUUUUGUAAGUUUAUAUUGAUGAAGUGCGUAAUAAUUGUUAUUGUUAAUAAUUGCUGUAUUACUAACAAACGUUUGAAAGUAUUCAGAGUUGACACGUCAUUUUACGUUGUUAUGUCAUCUAUCAACCUUACAUGCUUAUGCAAAUAGGUGAUAUUUGGUUCAAAAUGUAUAAAUAUCUCUAAGCCUACUUUAACUAUUGAUAUUAAGCAAAACUUAUUGUUGCUAGAAUGUGUAAACUGAUAUUAGUUGGAAUGGUCAAGGAAAUUGUGAUCUUGACGUUCGACACAACACUGCUAGACGAACUGCUUUGUGGGAAAUGAAUGAAAUAAAUAAAAAUAAAUGCAACAAAUAAAAAAAAGCAGUUUCUAAUUA